rnacentral:rRNA from 1 species
GUCUUUAUGAAGCUGUAUAAAGUCUGGCCUGCCCACUGAAUUAUUGAAGGGCCGCGGUAUUUCUGACCGUGCGAAGGUAGCAUAAUCAAUAGUCUUUUAAUUGAAGGCUUGUAUGAAAGGUUGGACGAAAAACACACUGUUUCAAAUGAAACAUUUGAAUUUAACUUUUAGGUGAAAAGGCUUAAAUGAGUUAAAAAGACGAUAAGACCCUAUAAAUCUUGACAUUUAUUUUUAUGUUUUUCUGAUUUAUGGUGUAUUAAAAGUGAAUAUAAAAGGUGUGUUAUGUUGGGGCAACAAUAAUAUAGUAAUGUUAAUUAUUAGAGCAAUUAAACAAAGAUAUUUGUUAGAUUAAGAGGAUCCUUGUUAAAGAUUUAAAGAUUAAGUUACUUUAGGGAUAACAGCGUUAUUUUUUCUGAGAGUUCUUAUCGAAGAAAAAGAUUGCGACCUCGAUGUUGAAUUAAAAGAUCUUUUUAAUGUAGCAGUUAAAAUAGAAAGUCUGUUCGACUUUUAAAUUUUU